ACAGCGGGGCCUCGACUACGUAGUUCGUAGUCUCGGUGGAUAGGAGCGCUAGGGUUUUUGCCUGGCUGCUCAAUGGUGCGGGAGGAGAGGAUAGGAGACGGAGGAAGAGGUAGGAGAUAAUAACUUUAUUGCUUGCCCUCAAAGGGUGCUGAUUAUACGAUAUAUAAAGGCCCCAUGGGCUGCUAACAAACUAGAAAUCUAUACGUAACAAACUAGUCUUUUAUUCUAGGAACUAAUGUAUCAGGACCAGGACUCCUGCCCAGCCUACGCCUCGCCUGAUGUGGCCGACGGCUGCUGCUCCUGGCCGCGUGGCCCACGCCUGUAGGACGUGCCCCACAUGACAUACAUGCGAAUGUGCAUAAUAACAAGGCUGAGAUCAGGGACCCAACCAGUCACCCUAAUGUGCAUAGAAAAGAUUGAAGGGUGAUGCCACAAGGACCGAUGAGGAAAUCAAACUGAGGGUAUCUACGGUUAUCCUAUUGAGAUCCAAGCUCUAUUGUACAUGAAAUUAAGAUGUGCUCUUCAAAUGCUUAAGCCGGAUGGUGAAGGGGAGGACUUCAUAGAAAAGGUAGGGCAACGACUACAUACAUUAACCUACCACAUGAGAAAUUACUUCAGGCUUGAUUUCCCACAUCUAAAUAACAUCUCUAGAUACAAAACAGAAGAGUACUCCCACACUGCUGUGAACAGGUAAUCGUUGUUUAAUUUCCUUUUUCUUUUUCUUUUGAUCCGACUGGCAUGGAAAAUGAUGAUUCACUUUAUAAUGUCAUCUUAUUUUAUUUUGUGUAUAUCUUGCUAAGUAAAGCUUGAUUUUUAUUAAUUAGGCCAAAGCUUUCAUCCCCUUUACAGAAGAAAACAAAUAACUUGAUGCUAACAUGAGUUAGUUUGCUAUCUGUGGAAGACGAAUGUGUGUGAAUGGUAGGACUAGGGUUCCUACCGGCUCUACUCCUUAGGUUAUAAGAGCAGAACAUCGGCUGUUGGGGGCGAGGGCGCGAGCUCCGGCGCUUCGGCGCCGUCGCGAUGGAGGAGGAGGGCGGCGGCGAUUAGGGCUGGGGGCGGCUAGGGUUCCGGCUCCUCUGGGAGCCGGGCAAUAGAGAUAAUAUUCUUCUUAUUGCUUAAUUCC